rnacentral:piRNA from 1 species
CCAAAGCUACAAGCUUCCCUACCAAAUGUUU